rnacentral:tRNA from 1 species
GCUCAGAUGGUAAAAGCGUCUGCCUGCAAUGCAGGAGACCCAGGUUCGAUUCCUGG